GGGGGGACAUCGUGAUCACAUAGGUGAUUUUCUUAAGGUGAGGAUCACCCAUUGCACUCUGGGUGUGCUGACCCCUGUGAUUUCCCCAAAUGCGGGACACAGC
rnacentral:snRNA from 1 species